GGCAACUCAAGCGCCAAAUGUAAACAGAGCAGACGACAACAAGACGACAACACGGGGACAUGUGAACGGAAAAUGUUGCUGGGUUGCUGUGAAUUCUUUGUGCUUUUCUCACGUGAAGGUUACAAUGGAAGUGGCACCACUACUAAUGCAACACAAAAUGGAAGACUUUGUUGUGUGUUAAAAAGUUAAUUGUGAACAACAAGGCAGCUUCUUUUUCUUCACUGAAGUCCAAAGAAUCUUAGAGGUCAGCCAUUUUAUUAUCCUAAGAAAUCUGCAUUUGACAAAUGGGAUGUUGUAAGUAUAUAAGUAUGAUGUAGUAUAGAUAUAACAUUUCACACUACACUGUUUUAUGAUUCAUUUGUUUCAUCUGAACACAUAUAAAAAAAAAUUAAGAUUAAGCUUAGUUAGAUUUUUCUGUAUGUUUUAUAUUUCUUUCUAUUGUAUUUGCUGGCAUUUAAGAUGCACUUAUUUCCAGAAAAUAAGUAUAUAAAAAUUACCUUGUCUCCAAUAUUUUUGAAUCACCAAUUCAGAAGUGGAGACAAGUCCCCAUACAGGCCAUAUCACCGAUGGCUCCCACAGCGAUUUAGGGCAGAAAUUUUUACACAGAUCUUUUGGGAAGUAAUGUCACUUCUAGUUUACUCCUGAUUUCUUAUCUCUUUCUGACAAUGAUAUCACAAAUAUUUAAUCUUCAGAAUUGCUAAGUUUUCAUCCAGUGACCUUUAAAAGGGCUUAAAUUUUCUAGGGGGGCUCCACCAUACUUGCUUCAUUUGCAUGUUACCCCCUGCACCACCAAGCACAUGACGUAGCCUAUGGCCUAAGGGAUAAAAGAUAUAGUUAGUGGUUAGAAUUUCAGUGAGUAGUAGUUCACCAAACACAAAUAUUCAGUGUAUGUUACAGAUAGUAUUAGUUAUGUAAUACUGUAUAAUUUAUAUUAAGCAAAAUGAUAUAAAGCUUACAGGACAGUUAUUGAAGAAGCUUAUAAUAUUUCAUAUCAUGUCUUUUCCCUGGCAGACAAGGUCUACACAAGAUUUGCACAUUUUUUGUGAUGUAUCUGGAAAGGACAAGGAAAAAAAUAAAAACCAGUUUCCAUUUGCACUGAGGUGCCAAAGUCUGCAUCAUGAAAUAUCAAAGCAGUCAUGCAGCAGUUUCAAAGCAUACACCAUUUUCAUAACUAAAACUCGUCAGGUCAGAUAUUGAGUUUGCACUUUUACAAUUUAAAAUGCAAUCUAAAAAAAAAUAUCACUGAUCCAUUAUUUACUGCUACCUGACCAUGCAGAUGACUUUCUGGUAUUUGAUGACUGUGAUAUUUGUCCUCAAUGAGAUUCACUAAAUAAGAGAUUGCAAGAAACCGUAAAAUAAUUAGGUGCUAUUACAAAAUGUCUUGAGAUAAGUCUUAAUGUUAUUAACUUAUUGAUGUGAAUUCUCAUGUGAUGCAAAUGUAGAUUUCAUAUGAAUUAUAUUGCUCAAAGACUUUUCUCUAGAAAAUGAUGUAUAUAUAUAUUAGUAAAGUAUAUAAGAGUUCCUUGGAAUAUGAAAAAUUAUUGCAGGGGUUCCUCCACAGUGCAAAGGUUGGGAAACACUGCACUAGAUAAUCAAUUUAUAUAACCCCUUUUUCUGUUGCUUGAAAUAUAGUAAUAAUCAAUGAAGAAAUGUUUUUUACUCUUACAGAUGCAGAAGGAAGAAAUUAAACUUUAUUGAUUAAUUUCAGGGAUUCCUUCAAUUUCUUAAUUUUUUGUUUCUUGCCUUGUACCAAUUUUUGCAUACACAGGCAAAUAUGGCAACUUUUCUUAUUAUUUUAAUUAAGAAUUGAUAUUAGCUUUUAUAACAUGAAACAAGAAUAAGUGCUUCUCUUCAUGUUUUAUAAAAUGUGUUUUAUAUCAUUAUUGUAAAAUUGAGAAAUUAGUUUGCCCAAAAAUGAAAAAUAAUUAUGUUCUUAAUUAAAUCUUAUCAGUAUAUUUAUUCAUAAGUAGUAUAUAGUACAUAUGUAUGAAUUUUUAUAUAUUUUCUCAACUUUUAAUCCAUUUGUCGCGGUUUUAAUGGAAUAAUAUACAGUCAUGUGGCGGGUUUAUGUUGUAUGGCACGGUGCCGUCCACGUCUACAACCAACUCUAUCUUUGCAGCAAAUCAUGCCAUCUGCUGUCAAUGGGUUAAAUUAUAGUUUUAGUGUAGUAUUAUUCUAUUUCAUUCCAUCUUUUUCAUUAUGUUUAUAAGAUGAUUUGAAAUGAAAAGCAAAAAGAUUUUCAAUAAAAUCUACAUAUCUAA
rnacentral:lncRNA from 1 species